rnacentral:rRNA from 1 species
GACGAACGCUGGCGGCGUGCUUAACACAUGCAAGUCGAACGGAAAGGCCCUGCUUUUGUGGGGUGCUCGAGUGGCGAACGGGUGAGUAACACGUGAGUAACCUGCCCUUGACUUUGGGAUAACUUCAGGAAACUGGGGCUAAUACCGGAUAGGAGCUCCUGCUGCAUGGUGGGGGUUGGAAAGUUUCGGCGGUUGGGGAUGGACUCGCGGCUUAUCAGCUUGUUGGUGGGGUAGUGGCUUACCAAGGCUUUGACGGGUAGCCCGCCUGGGAGGGUGAACGGCCACAAUGGGACUGCGAUACGGCGCAGACGGCUAUGGGAGGCAGCAGUGGGAAGUCUGACACAAUGAGCGCGAGCGUGAUGCGGCGGCGCUGCGUGCGGAAUGACGUCCUUCGGGUUGUAAACCGCUUUCGCCUGUGACGAAGCGUGAGUGACGGUAAUGGAUAAAGAAGCACCGGCUAACUACGUG